rnacentral:rRNA from 1 species
AGCGUAAUAGCUCACUAGUCGAGUCGUCCUGCGCGGAAGAUGUAACGGGGCUCAAGCCAUGAACCGAAGCUGCGGAUGUGUCUUUGACACGUGGUAGGGGAGCGUUCCGUAAGCCUGCGAAGGUGUCUCGUAAGGGAUGCUGGAGGUAUCGGAAGUGCGAAUGCUGACAUGAGUAGCGAUAAAGGGUGUGAAAAGCACCCUCGCCGUAAGCCCAAGGUUUCCUGCGCAACGUUCAUCGGCGCAGGGUGAGUCGGCCCCUAAGGCGAGGCAGAAAUGCGUAGUCGAUGGGAAACAGGUCAAUAUUCCUGUACCGCUCUUAGAUGCGAUGGGGGGACGGAGAAGGUUAGCUCGGCCAUCUGUUGGAAUAGGUGGUUUAAGCGUGUAGUCGUGCCGCGUAGGCAAAUCCGCGUGGCUUAGAUGAGGCGUGAUGACGAGGAUCCUCGGAUCCGAAGCGAGUGAUACCCAGCUUCCAGGAAAAGCCUCUAAGCUUCAGUCUAAGAGUGACCGUACCGCAAACCGACACAGGUGGGCUGGUAGAGAAUACCAAGGCGCUUGAGAGAACUCAGGAGAAGGAACUCGGCAAAUUGAUACCGUAACUUCGGGAGAAGGUAUGCCCCUGGUACGUGAAGGCCCUCGCGGCCGGAGCGGAACGGGGUCGCAGAGAAUCGGUGGCUGCGACUGUUUAUUAAAAACACAGCACUCUGCAAACACGAAAGUGGACGUAUAGGGUGUGACGCCUGCCCGGUGCCGGAAGGUUAAGUGAUGGGGUGCAAGCUCUUGAUCGAAGCCCCGGUAAACGGCGGCCGUAACUAUAACGGUCCUAAGGUAGCGAAAUUCCUUGUCGGGUAAGUUCCGACCUGCACGAAUGGCGUAACGAUGGCCACACUGUCUCCUCCUGAGACUCAGCGAAGUUGAAAUGUUUGUGAAGAUGCAAUCUCCCCGCGGCUAGACGGAAAGACCCCAUGAACCUUUACUGUAGCUUUGCAUUGGACUUUGACGGGACUUGUGUAGGAUAGGUGGGAGGCUUUGAAACCGGGACGCCAGUUCCGGUGGAGCCAACCUUGAAAUACCACCCUGGUGUCGUCGAGGUUCUAACCCAGGCCUGUGAAUCCAGGUCGGGGACCGUGCAUGGUGGGCAGUUUGACUGGGGCGGUCUCCUCCCAAAAGGUAACGGAGGAGUACGAAGGUC